AACAGAACACAAUAAAACGAAUGAUUUUCUUAACACGUUUACAGACUGUUAUCCAUUUUCCACAGUGCCAAAGGUUUUUUUAUUUAUUUAAGCGUUACGAGAAAGAGAUGAAAGAGCAGAUGGGGUUAACAACCACAAUGGAGCUCUUUGCUCGCAUUACGAUUUAUGAUAUCGAUGACAUAAGGGUGCGCGUGACCAAUUUUGAGAUUAAAAUUGAGUCAUUAUUGAAGACUGCCGAUUUUGCACUCGGUGAAGAAGAUGCGUUGAAGCUUGUAAUGGAUGAAAUCAAGAAAAAGUUAGGAGAAUUUAUGGAAAUCAUCGAGAAAUUAGGUGAACAAGCCGAUAAGUGUAGCCGUGAUAUUAGGAUGGCAAGGGCAGUGAUUUUGCACCGGAUGAUGACACACUCUAGCACGUCAACAACCGGAUCCAUGCCUUUGGAUCUCUAGCAACAGCAGACCGACCUCGCAGUGUUUGUCUUAUACCGAAUUUUUACGCUCUCGAGAUAAUGAAAUCCUGCUUCUACUCAUAAAGUGUUGUUGUACUUCACAUUGUAACUGUGCUAUGGAUAUUCUAGUAAGGCCGGUUUUGUUCGGACCGAUUUUCCGUCAAUAAAUCGGGUCUCUUUGUUACUUUUAGCAAUAGAGUAAGUUGUGAAAGUUGAAAGAGUUAAUUGAAAGAAUCUGAAUUCUCAAAACUUCAUACUAAAAGGAAGUGUUUGUUCAAAACUUCCAAAUGAUUGAAUUAGAUGUGUUGAGCUUCAUCAAUGUGUUAGAAAUUAAAAUAAAAAUAAAAAUUUAUUUUGGUUUUA